UAAAGGGACUGCCGGUGUUAAACCGGAGGAAGGGUGGGGAUGACGUCAAGUCCUCAUGGCCUUUAUGACCAGGGCUACACACGUACUACAAUGGCCGAUAACGAAAGGGCAGCGACACUGCGAGGUGAAGCCAACUACCCGUAAAAUCGGUCUCAGUCCGGAUUGGAGUCUGCAACUCGACUCCAUGAAGUUGGAAUCGCUAGUAAUCGUGGAUCAGCAUGCCACGGUGAAUACGUUCCCGGGCCUU
rnacentral:rRNA from 1 species